AUGAGAUCAAGACCUGAGCUAGUAUCAAGAGUCAGAUGCUUAGCUGAUGGAGUCACCCAGGUGUUUUAUCUUCUAAGUCUGCUCUCCCAGAAUUCUCCACCCACUUCUGACAUCUGGUGGGACACCUUGGGAACCCAAAGAAGGACAGAUCCUGAAGAAGUCAGAUCCAACUUCCUCGUGCAGCUGGGGGUAGCAUGGAAGUUCUAGAACAUCAGCACCCACACAGACCCACACACCCUCCCCUCCUCUCCUCCUCUGGGCAGCCUUUCUGCAGGUUGGGUCUGGGAGGGAAGUCAGGCUGGAGCACCAGGGGGAGGGGCCUAUAAUUUUUUAUGACAAGUUCAUGCACAUCAUGUCAAGACAAAAAUGGGAGAAAAGUAAACUUCAAAUAUUACACGUGUAAGACAUAAUGGAUUAUGGAUUAUUUUGUCAUCAAUUGGAUGACAAAGAACUGUGUUUUUUAUUAUGAAGUGAUGUUAUCACUGUGCUAAACCUACAGUAUCUGUCAGUAUUACUUAGGACUAAGCAAUCAUAACAAUAUUGCCAACUUAUAGGAAAGCACUUGUCAGAAAAAGUGGAAAGUAGAAGAAGGAAUACUUCAUUAAGGUAUAAUUUUUUUCACUAAUUUUUUUGAAAUGAAGCUGCAACCGAAGUAAGUUUCCAAAUAGUUCAUUUGUUAGAUAAAGCGAGUCAUUGACCAGUGUUGUUAAUUAAGUCAUAUUUGAUUCCAAGCCAAAGAAAUGUGUCCAGAGAAAAUAAACUGGUUUAAGACUAUUAACUUUGGGGGGGAAAGUGACUCAAAAGAGUUUAGGACAUUGGAAGCAAUAUCAAUAGUCCAUUUAAAAAGAAACCAAAUGAUUUCAAGGGGUUUUCCUUGGCUUUUGAUAAAUCAACAUACUGUUCAGUUGUUUUUUCAAGGACUAAUGCCAGAUCCAAAGUCACUGAGUUUCACCUAUGAAUGGUCUGUAUGAAACAAUUAUAAUUGAGAAUAUUUUUGAAAACAGUGAGAAAACACUAAUCUAGUACAACCUGAAGUAGAAUCUGCUAAGAUGUGCUAUAACUGAUGGUGAUAAAAAUAUAUGUGGAGAAGAAAAGCUCUUAGUUGGAUGAAUUUACAGAUUUUGAAAAUUUAAGGUGUUUAAAGACUUCCUUAUAUUCAUUGUAUUAUUUAACAGCAGGUACUUCUUUUUUAAUGUUUAUUUAUUUUGAGAGAGAGAGAGCAUGCGUGCAAGUUGGGGAGGAGCAGAGAAAGAGGGAGAAAGAAUCCCAAGUGGGCUCUGCACUGAGAUCAUGACCCGAACCCAAAUCAAGAUUCGGUUGCUUAGCUGACUGAGCCAACCAGAUGCUCUUAUCAGCAGGUACUUCUGAGGAACAUAUUUGAUAUCAUGUCUUACAGAAUUGGCAGUGUCAAUAGUGAAAUUCUACUCUCAUGGACUUAAUAUCUUCAGCACCAUAAAUUUUGUCAUAGAUAGAAGUAAAUCCUACCAUACAGCAGUGUGACAUUUUAGCACUGAUGAAAUUAUAUUGAGAUUGUAUUCAGCCCAGGAUCAAGAUUGAAAUUCGUCUGAAUGAGGACUUUCUUCAAUCAUUGUUAAUUAACAGUGAGUGAAUUUGGAAAUUAGCUUUUGCUGCAGAUUUGAUGUUUCUUAAUGAAUUGAACCUAAAACUAUUAGGCAAAGCUGAGCUUACAUACAAAACUUAUACUGCAGUAAAGUCAUUUUGAUGACAACUAAUGUUGUUUGAAUCACAAGUAGUAUCAAGCUGCUGUAUUUACUUCCUAUGUUGUCAAAAAUUAAAACAAGAAGUUAAAUCUCCACCCCACACAAAUUUUCAGAGAAUAUAUUUUCCAAGCUCAACCUAAACCUACAGUUCCAGAAGUAUUUUUUGGACCUUGCUUCACAUGCAAAAGAAAAGUCAAAUAUUUCAAAAUCCAUCUAAUUGUGCAAAAUCCAUCUAACUUCCACUUAACUUUCAAUUGAACUGAUUAAUCUACAGUAACAUACUAAAAGGUAAAUAUCAAGGAAAGAAUAUAAUAGAAUUCUAUAAAUGACUCAAGUAAUAUUUCCUAUUAAAAUCACAUGCUUAUGAUUGGUAUCACUAUUCAGCAGUACCGAUUUGUGUGACAAGACAUUUUCUUAUUAUAUAAGUACCUGCCUCAAUUUUGUCUCUUAACCUAUAAAACCUAUGGAUUUACCAUCUGGCCUUUUAGAGAAAAAAGAAAAACCCCUGAUCUAGAGGACUGUGGGUGUCUGAAAGAUACAGGGAGACCUCAUUGAAGGAUUGCUUGCUAGAAAAUUUGGUUAAGUAUGAAGUCUAAUUAUUCUGAUUUAGCAAACAGAGCUUUGCCUGCAGUCAUAUUACUUUGAUCAAAAAUAGAGCUGGACCCAAAGCUAUAUCUUUCUGCUAUAAACCUAACAUGUAAGAUUUAGUUUCAGCAAACAACACCAGCUGUCUCACAUCAACGUUGCCAAUUUGAAUUUUUAUUAGUUUUAUAGUUUUGUUUGUAUUUCAUUUGUACAUCUUGCUUUGGCUUCAGACAUCAGUAAGACUUAUUCUCUAUGUGAACAUAGGUGAGGGCCCCUUAACCCUCCCAAAUGUAUUUUCAUUUCUUGAAAAGGAACACAAUGAAUGCACAUGAAUCUGUUUCUUCAGGAAGUGUUAAAAAAAUUAAGUGAACCAUUUUUCAUUCAGAGAUUGUGGACACAGGGUGCCUGGGUGGCUCAGUCAGUUGAGCAUCUGAUUUUGACUCAGGUCAUGGUCUCACAGUUCACGAGUUUGAGUCCCACGUCCAGCUCUGUGCUGGCAGUUCAGACCCUGGAGCCUGUUUCUGAUUCUGUGUCUCCUCCCUCUCUCUCUGCCCCUCCCCUGCUCGUGCUCUGUCUCUCUCAAAAAAUGAAUAAACAUUAAAAAAAAUUAAAAAUAAAAAGAGAUUGCAGACAUGAUAGAGUGUCUAGAAGAGACUAUGUCGGGCAGAAUUGACCUUAACAAAAGUUAGGUCUUUCCUCUUCAAAUGUAUUGGUUCUCAAACCUAAUAUGCACAGAAUAACCUGAUGAGCUUGUUUAACAUGCACUGUCCCAAACUUUUCUUCCAAGGCCCAGGAGUAUUCACCUCUGUCACACAUCUCAGAACACCCUGAUUGAUGACACACAGACCACCAUAUUUUGAGAAACAUGCCUUCAGAUUCUUGGUUUCCAUCGCUUCAUUCUGCCCUUUACUUGAGAACCGAUAGGAUCCUUCAUGAAGCAACCAGGUGAUUUUUUCUACAAGAACUCCUUACCAUAAGAGGUGAGAUAGGAAGAAGGGAUUAGCCCAUUUCACCUUGGUAUCUUAUUGUUAUUACAAAUCCUAAACUACACUUGUUUAUGGAACAUUCUAGAAUACAGCAAGUGCCUUGAGCUAUUUUGUGACUAACUAGAAGUAACUAGGGCUUUAAUAUUCAACCACCAAAUGAAGAAAAUUUCAGGUAAAAAAUAACAUGUGACAGGAACACAUUUCCUAUCAAUCUAGUUAUUUUUUCAAAAAGCUUUAAACAACAAUCUCAAUAAUCUUACAUUUUAGUGAUUUUCUGCAAUUUCCACUGAAGGUUCAAACAUACCUGAAAAGCCCUUGCUUCAUUGCCUAAAAAAACAGAUGAAUAGAUAUUCAUUUAUAUAAAAAUCAUUAGAUUAAAAUCAUUAGUCCAGCACAUACUUAAUGGUUAAUAUAGAAUCAGAACUACUGAAUUGAUGUCUCAGUGUAAAGGCAUCAAAAACCUAGUGUCUCUAAACAAGCAAAAUCACCUAAAUUCGGGCCACUUCUUAAGCUAACAUUGCUGAAGACUUUUACUGGAUAAGUUUGUACAAGUUCCCCUGUCCCCACAACCCACUGCCCAUUAAAACAUAAGAUACAUUUGUUAGAAACAAAAGCUUUUUCUAGGAAAGAAGAGAUUUUGGCACUGGAAAAUUAUGGAUCAAGGCUCACCUGUUAGCAAAAUGCUGCAAGGCGGUGAAUUCCAGUCCUAAUUCAGCUUCUGAUGUUGAUAUGACUGAAGGGGCUUGGGUUCACUGCCCAGUUUCCUCACCCAUGAACCUGGAAUAACAACACACCCUCCUUUACAAAGGAACCAUGUUGUGUAACACAAAAAAGUGACGACAGCCUUUUCCCAAUUCAAGAGAUGAAAUUAUAGCCCCAUUGUGAUAUUCUUCACACAUACUUCAACAACUCCCUGACAUUUUAACUAUUAAUUACUUGUUUAUUCUCAGUUUCAAUACCUUUUAUUCAGAUCCCUUUGCAUUCCUUAACCUUGCUUGUCUCCCUGGCUUUUGUAUCUGUAGGUGAACCCCUCACCAACCUUUUGGCAAACAUUACUCUUGACUCCCAGAUCACCUAUCUUUCCUAGCGACUCUGGGGGGUCCUCUCAUGCUUCACACACAGCGCUCACCACCAUAUGCCUCUGCCUGCUGCCUCUGGACACACCUGUCAGCCAGCCAGCUAUCAAUGGGCUGGCAGCAGUAGCUCUUGCAUGGGAUGGAGUGCACAUCCCUCCCUGACUUUUACCCAUUCCUCCCAUGUGCAGCCCCGCACACACUGUAAUAAUGCCCCUUAUGUGUCAUAACUAUGUCAUUACCCCCCCUCAGGGCGUAUGUCACUUCCUGACUUCUUUCAGAUUCCAGGCAUUCUGUACAUGAGGCUGUUCAAUAUACCCCCCAAAUGGUAUAUGACCUCCUUCUAUUCUGUUGGCAGCAUCCAUUUGCCUCAGUUCUUUCUAUCCAGGGCGGAUUUGAAAAACACAGAUAACCACUGUCUGAUUCAAGAACCGUGAAAAACUCCAGAUCACACAGCUCUGACAAUGGGAUAAUAAUUUAAGGAAGCAGGUGGCAUGAUCGAUGAAUUAAAGCUUCCCUGGAACCAACACAAGGCAAAUGACUACAGGAACAACUUCCCAGCACAAUUCAGACCGGCUCAAAUGAACUUCUGCCCCCCAAACUCAACAGCCAAUCAAUCCUAGGUAAGGUUUAUACAAAGCCACACAACAAAUGUAACCAAGCACAUGCCUUUUAUAAGAUUACUUUAAAACAACGGGACCAACUUGAGAGCACAAUCUGCCCAUCAUUUGUUGUACAUGGUGUUUUCUUAGGGCACACAUUCCAUGAUCACAGUGACCAGAAUGGUUUUCAGUAACCUAAAACAAUAGGACCACAUUCCCAAGUGGAAAUUCUACAAAAACACUUACAGAUCCUUUUAAGUCUCUUCGUUAUGUUUGUCCACCAAAAGCCACAUAUUCCAUCACAAUGAAUUAACUUUAUUUGAUCAAAAUACUGGAAAAAAUUAAUCCUCAGAAACUUGAAAUGUCAUUAUUGGAGAUUUUGAUUCUUCAAGACUAAAUACCAGUAAAACAAAUAAGCUCAACCACGACUGCAAGAAGCAGUUUAUUGGCUAGAAAACAACCUGGAUACAGACAACAGGAAGCAAGUCAUGUACAUUUUCAUGAACCAAAAUGAAAUGGACUCUGCUUUUGAAAAUUAAGGAAGAGAAGAAGGGAGGGUACAUAAUACAACACUCAGUAAUUCAGAUAAUUUAAAGCCAUGAAGUGAAAGCACCACAAUUAAAAUUUUGGAAAGGAAGCUACUACAUAACCCAAAAGUGUAUUUCAAGACUGUUUUCUAAUCAAGUGCAUUAAUUACCCAAUAUACGGAUUGUUGAAGCACUGUAGGCAUGCCCAAAGGACAGACCAGCCAAAGCAACAAACACAAACAGAUGUGCUAGUCAUUUUCAUGUAUAGCCCCACCAAAAAAGAAUAAAUACAGCCAACAUUUUUCUCUUUCUCCUGAUUUUUAGGGUGCGAGGGGGUGGCAACCACAUCAUUUAAGUCCUCUGUAGAAUGCACCCUCUGAUUACAGUGUUAUUUUGGAGUAGUCAACUGAAAAUAACUGCCUUUGGGGUGUGCUUCAUAUCAAAAAAGCCUACACUGAAACAGAUAACUCACACAUAUAUUAACAAAAGCUGUGUUGGAUGGCUGAACACCAGUUACUAUAAUGCCGACUCCAGUGCCCCAAUUCUGAACCAGGAGUGAUGUGCACAAUAGAUUUGGCCAAUUCUGCUGUAUUUUUAGGAUGGUUUACUCUCACUAACAACUUGUUAUCUGUGUUUUCUCCAUGGGACCCAGUAUCAGCAGAAAAAAGACCUUGAAAUCCCAGUGAACUGCAGGAAAAGAUCAACUCCUACUUCCUAGCCAAGAACAAUGCCCUCACCCUGUGAACUCACAAAGCUCUCAGACUUCUCAACUAGUUAACAACAACAACAACAACAAAAAAAUGUAAAAAGUGAACUGAAUCUGUUUAAUACAGAUUUAUUUAAUCUAAAUGAUGCAUCAGGAAAAAUUGAGAAUAAAUCCAAGCACACUCAUAAAUUUGCCAGUUUGAGAACAUAAUUAAACUUUUCUAUAAAGGAACUAAAAUACAUUUAUUAAUAACAAGAUUUUCAUGAUUGGAUCAUUGUAUUAAAUUCUAGAUUUGGAAGGGAGAUAGUCAUUUUACAAAGCAAGUUACCAUUAAAUGAAAUUUGAAAUAUCUAA